GCCUAGACUGAGAUCAUCCGUCAAAAACCCCUUUGUUUUCUCCCAUUUCUCUCUCACUGCAUUUUUCCUCUCUCGUAUCUCUUUCUCAAAUCCCUAGUCCCUCCGAUACUCGACUUGAAGAAAAAAAACAAAAAAACAAACAACUCACCGGCACAACCAUCUUCUAUCACUCCCUCGAUACCACCACUGUAGUCUUUUCUCUAUCUCACUCUGUAACGUCGUCCGAUUCUUCUCCAGCCAGCAAAGUCCGUCUUCACCAAUCGACCAACUCCAAGCCCAAUCGCGAAUGAAACUAACUCAUCCCCUGGUGAUUCCAGAGAAUGGGGAAAGAUAUUCAUAAAGAUAUCAUUAUUCGCAACACCACCUUACCAACACCCUCGAUUCGAUGCAAUUCAAUCCCAACUCCUUCAGUUGAUCAACGAUUCGAUGUAAGUGGAAGAAGAGGGAAGAGUUCAGUAGAUCAACGCCAAUAGAAAAUCCUACAUCUACAGAUUAUACACCACCUUCAUUAGACACCUAACGUUUCAAGUUUCUUAAUCAAUGGGUUUUGAUUUCUUAUUAGGAUGUCGAUUUCUUCCUUUGGGUUUUGAUUUAUAAUUAAGAUGCCGAUUUCUCAGAGGGGUUUUGAUUUCUCCCCCAGGGUUAGGUUUUCGGGGUACAUGACUUCAUCAUGCAAUUCGAUGGCACCAAAAAAGGUGAAAUCUGGUGGUGCGAAACAAAAGAAGAAGGUCUAUCGCUGAUACAACCUCCACAUCAAAGAACGUGGGAUUGACAUGGGGGCUUGCACUAGAUGUAUGGAUGAAUGCUAUCAAAGGAAAACUGGUUGUUAUGUUCUCAGAAUUAAAUGGAGAGCCGCUAUUCGAGAAUGGUCCCAAAGUCGUAAACGAGUGUGUGGUAAUAGUUCGUUCUAUAGAAGCACUCAGGUACAAGUCUUGGAGUGAAAAACAAGUCCUCGAUAGGGAUUCCUUGAUUUACAGGGUCAAGUUAUGCAUAUAUGUUAUCUGUUUUUUUGCCCGUAGAUUAGUGUAUUAAACCUUAAAUUUGAACAUUGAUCUGGUUUACAUUUUCAGAAUGAGUUCAUAUGGACACUUCUCUACAGAUGUUAAAGAAGCUUUUAGAUGAAUCAAUUGGUAACUAUACAAUACUAAUAUAGUUCUCCUGGCCACGAUUAAGCGCAAACUCAGUAUUCUAUAUUACCUAAUUGAAACACGAAUUUGAUUGUUAUUUUCAUUAAUGACCACACCCUCAUGAAUUCUAAGUUCAUCGUCUGUCUGCGUUCCAGUAACUCUCAUGCUUGUCUAAAGACCAACCAUUAGUGCUGCACCUUCACGUGAUGUUGUGAUCACUAGUUUCACUCUUGCUUACCAUACAUGAAAAACUUUUAUUUAGUCCAUGCGACCACUGUUUCUAACUAUGAAGGAAUUCAUGAAAUGCUACAAGCGCAGGCUGAUAGAAUUCAAGCUCAGGAAGAGCAAAUAUGCGUGCAGAAUGAGGUUAUCAAAAAGUUGAAAGAAGAUAACGCAAAGGACAUAAGAAACAUGCGGGAUAUGAUGUUACUUUCUCUCAGACUAAACAACAUUACCGCUAAUGGAAUUGAAAGUUGAAUGCAGUCACAUUAAUGUUCUAGUCUUAGUAUUCUUUUUCUUUUCUUUUCUAAUAGUGAUGCUUAUUUAUUUAUUUAGUUAUUGGUAGAGUUCAUUUAUCAGAUUUUUUCUAGUUUGGAUCUUGUAUAAACAACUUAUAUUAAUGGGUAAUUGUUUUUUAUUCAACUUA